AUACGAAGGGGGCUAGCGUUGCUCGGAAUUACUGGGCGUAAAGCGCACGUAGGCGGACAUUUAAGUCAGGGGUGAAAUCCCGGGGCUCAACCCUGGAACUGCCUUUGAUACUAGGUGUCUUGAGUACGAGAGAGGUGAGUGGAAUUCCGAGUGUAGAGGUGAAAUUCGUAGAUAUUCGGAAGAACACCAGUGGCGAAGGCGGCUCACUGGCUCGUAACUGACGCUGAGGUGCGAAAGCGUGGGGAGC
rnacentral:rRNA from 1 species